AGGAGAGGGAGGGCAGCUGACGGUAGGGUUUUUUAAACCCAGCUGAGGAAGGUCCCCCCUCCGAGAGAAGGUGGACCACAGAAGUGGUUGGGCGAGAGCCCAGGCAAGGGCGCAGAAACGACACAGCCCCGGUCUAGUAUGAUCCGUUUGUCGGUGACGUUGUCCGGGGAUCUGGUGAAACGGCGACUCCCCACCGGAGCAAGCCCAAACAGCCGGGGUGACCACUCGGGACCGGCGGGUAGGGUGCUAAGUUGAAUGCUGCCUGAAACAGAAGGGGGCCUACUACCCUCACCU
rnacentral:RNase_P_RNA from 1 species